GGGUUAGGGUUAUUAGAAGGUACAGCGCGCAGUGGUGAGGGUUAGGGUUAUUGUAGUUAAAGGUACAGUGCGCAGUGGUGAGGGUUAGGGUUAUUGUAGUUAAAGGUACAGCGCGCAGUGGUGAGGGUUAGGGUUAUUGUAGUUAAAGGUGCAUUGCACAGUGGUGAGGGUUAGGGUUAUUAGAAGGUACAUUGUGCAGUGGUGAGGGUUAGGGUUAUUGUAGUUAAAGGUGCAGUGCACAGUGGUGAGGGUUAGGGUUAUUAUAAAGGUUAAAGGUACAGUGUGUAGUGGUGAGGUUGCUGAAUUGCGUCCAGCUGAAUACCCAUCCCUUUACAAGCCUAUGCGAGUGCCU
ensembl:lncRNA